ACCCGGUCCCAUUCCGAACCCGGAAGUUAAGCCUCUCAGCGUCGAUGGUACUGCACGGGUCACCUUGUGGGAGAGUAGAACGCCGCCGGAC
rnacentral:rRNA from 1 species